GAUGAAGAACGCAGUGAAAUGCGAUAAGUAAUGUGAAUUGCAGAAUUCAGUGAAUCAUCGAAUCUUUGAACGCACCUUGCGCUCCUUGGUAUUCCGAGGAGCAUGCCUGUUUGAGUGUCAUUAAAUUCUCAACCAUUAUCAACUUUUGCUGAUAAUGGCUUGGAUGUGGGGGUCUAUUUUGCUGGCUUCUCAGAUAGUCAGCUCCCCUUAAAUGCAUUAGCCGGUGCCCCGCGUGGACUGUCUAUUGGUGUGAUAAUUAUCUACGCUAUAGACAUCUGCAAUCAUAUGGGUUUGCGCUGCUUCUAACAGUCUGUUGAUUCAGACAAUACAUGACAAUUUGACCUCAAAUCAGGUAGGACUACCCGCUGAACUUAAGCAUAUCAAUAAGCGGAGGA
rnacentral:misc_RNA from 1 species